AAACUGCAGCUCAUAGAUAGCUUACUUUCUGAAUAAUAACCUUUCUCUCUACUAGGUCACUGGACAUUGCUUUUACUCCAUAUCUAAGAGUGCAUUAACCAGAACAAUGCUAUAUCUCAGGAUCUGUUACCAGGUCAAGAGGAAGAAAUACAUUAUACGUCAGACAUCUCAGUAGGUUUUUCAAGGAAUUUCUAAACCAGGCAUCUUGUCUUGAACUAGUAGUCUUCCCAGCCACUUCAUUAAGCCACUUCUUGACUAAAGCCAAUACAAUCACAGAAGGGAGAAGGGUCAGCAGCUAAGUCAACAUGUUAACUUGGCACACACAGCAUUAAUUUUGAAGGAGGCUAACUGCUAAAAAGGGAUUUUCCAAAUAUCACAAAGGAAACAUUUAAUUACAUUUGGGCCUGCUGAGCAUUCAAAGCCUAGUAAAACUAGUCAAAAGUGAGUUGAGAAU
rnacentral:lncRNA from 1 species